UGGGGGAUAUUGCACAAUGGGCGAAAGCCUGAUGCAGUGACGCCGCGUGGGGGAUGAAGGCCUUCGGGUUGUAAACUUCUUUUGCUCUGAACAAGGCAUGCUAAUGGGUGUGUUGAGUGUAGGGGUUGAUUAGCGCCGGCUAACUACGUGCCAGCAGCCGCGGUAAUACGUAGGGCGCGAGCGUUGUCCGGAAUUAUUGGGCGUAAAGGGCUUGUAGGUGGCUGGUUGCGUCUGUCGUGAAAGCUCAUGGCUUAACUGUGGGUUUGCGGUGGGUACGGGCUGGCUUGAGUGCAGUAGGGGAGGCUGGAAUUCCUGGUGUAGCGGUGGAAUGCGCAGAUAUCAGGAGGAAUACCGGUGGCGAAGGCGGGUCUCUGGGCUGUUACUGACACUGAGGAGCGAAAGCAUGGGGAGCGAACAGG
rnacentral:rRNA from 1 species